rnacentral:rRNA from 1 species
AUUAACGCUGGCAAUAUGCAUUAUACAUGCAAGUUGAACGAAAAGCCUUUACAUAAAGGCUUUUCGUAGCAUACGGGUGAGUACAACGCGGGAAUAUCUGCCCAAUAGUUCGGGAUAAGUAUAGUUAUUAUGACAAAUAUAGAAAUAUUUUCUAUUGUACGAAUACCGGAUAUUUAAAAAGAUUAAUCGCUAUUGGAAGAGCCUGCGCAGGAUUAGGUUGUUGGUAGGGAGAUGGCCUACCAAGCCGAUGAUCCUUAGCUGGUCUUAGAGGAUGAUCAGCCACACUGGGACUGAAAGACGGCCCAGACUCCAUUAGGAGGCAGCAGUAGGGAAUAUUGGACAAUGGGCGAAAGCCUGAUCCAGCAAUAUUGCGUGAGUGACGAAGGCUAUUUUAGCUGUAAAACUCUUUUAUUGAGAAAGAUAAUGACAUGACUCAAUGAAUAAGUCCCGGCUAAUUCCGU